GACAGAGGGUGCAAACGUUGUUCGGAUUUACUGGGCGUAAAGCGUGUGUAGGCGGCUUGGCAAGUUGGAUGUGAAAGCCCACGGCUCAACCGUGGAAGCGCACCCAAAACUGCUUCGCUCGAGUCUCGGAGAGGAAGGUGGAAUGCUUGGUGUAGAGGUGAAAUUCGUAGAUAUUGGGAAGAACACCGGUGGCGAAGGCGGCGACCUGGUCCGAUACUGACGCUGAGGCGCGAAAGCGUGGGGAGCAAACAGG
rnacentral:rRNA from 1 species